rnacentral:rRNA from 1 species
UACGUAGGGGGGCAAGCGUUGUCCGGAAUCAUUGGGCGUAAAGAGCGUGUAGGCGGCCAGAAAAGUCCGCUGUGAAAACUCGAGGCUCAACCUCGGGCUUGCAGUGGAUACGGGCAGACUAGAGUGCGGUAGGGGAGACUGGAAUUCCUGGUGUAGCGGUGGAAUGCGCAGAUAUCAGGAGGAACACCAAUGGCGAAGGCAGCUCGCUGGGACGUGACUGACGCUGAGGCGCGAAAGCUAGGGGAGCAAACGGG